rnacentral:rRNA from 1 species
UUAAGUUAGAAAGGGCGCACGGUGGAUGCCUUGGCACUAGGAGCCGAUGAAGGACGGGACGAACACCGAUAUGCUUCGGGGAGCUGUAAGCAAGCUUUGAUCCGGAGAUUUCCGAAUGGGGAAACCCACCACUCGUAAUGGAGUGGUAUCCAUAUCUGAAUACAUAGGAUAUGAGAAGGCAGACCCGGGGAACUGAAACAUCUAAGUACCCGGAGGAAGAGAAAGCAAAUGCGAUUCCCUGAGUAGCGGCGAGCGAAACGGGAUCAGCCCAAACCAAGAGGCUUGCCUCUUGGGGUUGUAGGACACUCUGUACGGAGUUACAAAGGAACGAGGUAGAUGAAGAGGUCUGGAAAGGCCCGCCAUAGGAGGUAACAGCCCUGUAGUCAAAACUUCGUUCUCUCCUGAGUGGAUCCUGAGUACGGCGGAACACGUGAAAUUCCGUCGGAAUCCGGGAGGACCAUCUCCCAAGGCUAAAUACUCCCUAGUGACCGAUAGUGAACCAGUACCGUGAGGGAAAGGUGAAAAGCACCCCGGAAGGGGAGUGAAAGAGAUCCUGAAACCGUGUGCCUACAAGUAGUCAGAGCCCGUUAACGGGUGAUGGCGUGCCUUUUGUAGAAUGAACCGGCGAGUUACGAUCCCGUGCAAGGUUAAGCAGAAGAUGCGGAGCCGCAGCGAAAGCGAGUCUGAAUAGGGCGAAUUGAGUACGUGGUCGUAGACCCGAAACCAGGUGAUCUACCCAUGUCCAGGGUGAAGUUCAGGUAACACUGAAUGGAGGCCCGAACCCACGCACGUUGAAAAGUGCGGGGAUGAGGUGUGGGUAGGGGUGAAAUGCCAAUCGAACCUGGAGAUAGCUGGUUCUCUCCGAAAUAGCUUUAGGGCUAGCCUCAAGGUAAGAGUCUCGGAGGUAGAGCACUGAUUGGACUAGGGGCCCCUACCGGGUUACCGAAUUCAGUCAAACUCCGAAUGCCGAUGACUUAUCCUUGGGAGUCAGACUGCGAGUGAUAAGAUCCGUAGUCGAAAGGGAAACAGCCCAGACCGCCAGCUAAGGUCCCAAAGUAUACGUUAAGUGGAAAAGGAUGUGGAGUUGCUUAGACAACCAGGAUGUUGGCUUAGAAGCAGCCAUCAUUUAAAGAGUGCGUAAUAGCUCACUGGUCGAGUGACUCUGCGCCGAAAAUGUACCGGGGCUAAACGUAUCACCGAAGCUGCGGACUGUUCUUCGAACAGUGGUAGGAGAGCGUUCUAAGGGCUGUGAAGCAAGACCGGAAGGACUUGUGGAGCGCUUAGAAGUGAGAAUGCCGGUAUGAGUAGCGAAAGAGGGGUGAGAAUCCCCUCCACCGAAUGCCUAAGGUUUCCUGAGGAAGGCUCGUCCGCUCAGGGUUAGUCGGGACCUAAGCCGAGGCCGAAAGGCGUAGGCGAUGGAUAACAGGUUGAUAUUCCUGUACCACCUCCUCACCAUUUGAGCAAUGGGGGGACGCAGGAGGAUAGGGUAAGCGCGGUAUUGGAUAUCCGCGUCCAAGCAGUUAGGCUGGGAAAUAGGCAAAUCCGUUUCCCGUGAAGGCUGAGCUGUGAUGGCGAGCGAAUUAUAGUAGCGAAGUUCCUGAUUCCACACUGCCAAGAAAAGCCUCUAGCGAGGUGAGAGGUGCCCGUACCGCAAACCGACACAGGUAGGCGAGGAGAGAAUCCUAAGGUGAUCGAGAGAACUCUCGUUAAGGAACUCGGCAAAAUGACCCCGUAACUUCGGGAGAAGGGGUGCUCUGUUAGGGUGCAAGCCCGAGAGAGCCGCAGUGAAUAGGCCCAGGCGACUGUUUAGCAAAAACACAGGUCUCUGCGAAGCCGUAAGGCGAAGUAUAGGGGCUGACGCCUGCCCGGUGCUGGAAGGUUAAGAGGAGCGCUUAGCGUAAGCGAAGGUGCGAAUUGAAGCCCCAGUAAACGGCGGCCGUAACUAUAACGGUCCUAAGGUAGCGAAAUUCCUUGUCGGGUAAGUUCCGACCCGCACGAAAGGCGCAACGAUCUGGGCACUGUCUCAACGAGAGACUCGGUGAAAUUAUAGUACCUGUGAAGAUGCAGGUUACCCGCGACAGGACGGAAAGACCCCGUGGAGCUUUACUGCAGCCUGAUAUUGAAUGUUGGUACAGCUUGUACAGGAUAGGUAGGAGCCUUGGAAACCGGAGCGCCAGCUUCGGUGGAGGCAUCGGUGGGAUACUACCCUGGCUGUAUUGACCUUCUAACCCGCCGCCCUUAUCGGGCGGGGAGACAGUGUCAGGUGGGCAGUUUGACUGGGGCGGUCGCCUCCUAAAAGGUAACGGAGGCGCCCAAAGGUUCCCUCAGAAUGGUUGGAAAUCAUUCGCAGAGUGUAAAGGCACAAGGGAGCUUGACUGCGAGACCUACAAGUCGAGCAGGGACGAAAGUCGGGCUUAGUGAUCCGGUGGUUCCGCAUGGAAGGGCCAUCGCUCAACGGAUAAAAGCUACCCCGGGGAUAACAGGCUUAUCUCCCCCAAGAGUCCACAUCGACGGGGAGGUUUGGCACCUCGAUGUCGGCUCAUCGCAUCCUGGGGCUGUAGUCGGUCCCAAGGGUUGGGCUGUUCGCCCAUUAAAGCGGUACGCGAGCUGGGUUCAGAACGUCGUGAGACAGUUCGGUCCCUAUCCGUCGCGGGCGCAGGAAAUUUGAGAGGAGCUGUCCUUAGUACGAGAGGACCGGGAUGGACGCACCGCUGGUGUACCAGUUGUUCUGCCAAGGGCAUCGCUGGGUAGCUAUGUGCGGACGGGAUAAGUGCUGAAAGCAUCUAAGCAUGAAGCCCCCCUCAAGAUGAGAUUUCCCAUUCCGCAAGGAAGUAAGAUCCCUGAAAGAUGAUCAGGUUGAUAGGUCUGAGGUGGAAGUGUGGCGACACAUGGAGCUGACAGAUACUAAUCGAUCGAGGACUUAACCAA